UUCAUUGGCUUUUCUAUGCAGUCCUCCUCCUCUCUGGUCUGGCUGCGCUGCGUUGCGUUGCAGAGGGAGGGAGAAGGCAAGCAGCGGGAGAGAAAGAUGAACAGCGCGUUCAAUGCGUUCAAGGCGAGCGUGGGGAUCGGUUGGAGUCCGCACCUUUACAUCACGCUGGUGAGGGGAAUACCGGGCACACGUCGGCUCCACCGCCGGACGCUGGAGGCGCUUCGCCUCGGCAAAUGCAACCGCACCGUCAUGCGAUGGAACACCCCCACCGUCCGCGGCAUGCUUCAGCAGGUGAAGAGAUUGGUAGUCGUCGAAACGGAGGAGAUGUACAACGCUAGGAAGCAAAAAGAAGCUGCCCACAAGGCUCUUCGGCCUCCCAUUGUCGUCAAUCACCUGCCUCCUCCACCCCCGCCGCCGCCGCAACCAUGAAUUGUUUAGGAUUAUUUGCUCCAUCUCCAGUCAUUGUACAAGUCUCAGAGGCUUUGAGAAGGCAAGCUGAUGGGUCAUAUAUUUCUGUGGAAGCAAGUUACAGAGAUCAAGUUUGUUGCAGUUGAAUUUAGUUGGAAAUGACAGUGCGAAGCAUGCAAGCCACAAGCGUUUAUCAAGAGGAUGCAUUGUUGCUUUUGUUUGGGAACUAUGUAGUGUGCAGCUAAUAAAAUUUUUGAUGUUUGAUGCUCCCAUGCUCUGUUCCCUAUUAAAAAACCAAGUAUGAUGAAAGCCACCUGGUACAAGCGAAUGGGAGUUACAACUGUGA